rnacentral:rRNA from 1 species
GCAAAACGCGAAGAACCUUACCUACUCUUGACAUCCAGAGAACUUGGCAGAGAUGCUUUGGUGCCUUCGGGAACUCUGAGACAGGUGCUGCAUGGCUGUCGUCAGCUCGUGUUGUGAAAUGUUGGGUUAAGUCCCGCAACGAGCGCAACCCUUAUCCUUUGUUGCCAGCGGUUAGGCCGGGAACUCAAAGGAGACUGCCAGUGAUAAACUGGAGGAAGGUGGGGAUGACGUCAAGUCAUCAUGGCCCUUACGAGUAGGGCUACACACGUGCUACAAUGGCGCAUACAAAGAGAAGCGACCUCGCGAGAGCAAGCGGACCUCAUAAAGUGCGUCGUAGUCCGGAUUGGAGUCUGCAACUCGACUCCAUGAAGUCGGAAUCGCUAGUAAUCGUGGAUCAGAAUGCCACGGUGAAUACGUUCCCGGGUCUUGUACACACCG